AACUAUACGAAUAUUAUGUAUAGCUAUUUCUGCUCAAUGUUAUUAUAAAUUGCCGCAGUACUCUGACUGUGCUAAGGUAGCAUAAUCAUUUGGCUUAUAAUUGAAGUCUAGUAUGAAGGAAGUCAUGGGGGUUAACUGUUUCCGAAACGUUUAUUUAAUUUGCCUAAGGGGUGAAAAUGCCCCUAAUUACAUAAUAGACGAGAAGACCCUUGAAAUUUUAAGUAUAGGUAGUGUAGAGCUAAACUUUUUGUUGGGGCGACAAAGUAGCAAAUAACCUACUAAUUAUUAUUAGCAGAAAAUUGUAUGAAUAAAUAAAUUACUCUAGGGAUAACAGCAUAAUAUUUAAAAGUUUGUGACCUCGAUGUUGGACUAGGACAAUAUAGUCUAGAAGACUUUUAUUUCUGCUCUGUUCG
rnacentral:rRNA from 1 species